UACGGAAGGCAGCAGUGGGGAAUAUUGCACAAUGGGCGCAAGCCUGAUGCAGCCAUGCCGCGUGUAUGAAGAAGGCCUUCGGGUUGUAAAGUACUUUCAGUCGUGAGGAAGGUGUUAAGGUUAAUAACCUUAGCAAUUGACGUUAGCGACAGAAGAAGCACCGGCUAACUCCGUGCCAGCAGCCGCGGUAAUACGGAGGGUGCGAGCGUUAAUCGGAAUUACUGGGCGUAAAGGGCACGCAGGCGGUUAAUUAAGUUGGAUGUGAAAUCCCCGGGCUUAACCUGGGAAUGGCAUUCAAGCUGGUUAGCUAGAGUCUUGUAGAGGGGGUUAGAAUUCCAUGUGUAGCGGUGAAAUGCGUAGAGAUGUGGAGGAAUACCGGUGGCGAAGGCGGCCCCUGGACAAAGACUGACGCUCAUGUGCGAAAGCGUGGGGAGCAAACG
rnacentral:rRNA from 1 species